UUACGGCCGUAUCACGUUGAAACACCGGUUUCCGUACGAUCACCGAAGUUAAGCAACGUCGAACCUGGUCAGUACCUAGAUAGGUGACCGCUUAGGAAUACCAGGUGCUGUAA